rnacentral:snoRNA from 11 species
ACGACCUUACUUAAACAGGGUCUGUUCUAUAGGCUCGUAUUUCUGUAUUCUGAAUCAAGAUGUCGCCCUUCUCCUGAGCAUACAAUUAAUGAAACCUUCCUGAAAAAAAAAAAAACUUUCAUAUUUAAAUAAAAGAUA